UCAUUGUAUAAUUACAAAGCCAUCCACCGCUGCAAUGUUACCACUGCAUUCAAGUAUUUAUACUACUUAGAAGGUGCUAGAACCACUAUAAGUACUAGCAUGAAUUACAGAAAUAGCUUCAAUUUGUUCUACUGGUUGUUCUUCGGGUGCAACCUCCAUCAGGUGACAGUUUAGCUGGGCUUAAUUCCUCUCCCGCUGAUGGCCAUGUCCAAGGCAGAUAGAAGGAUGGGGGAGAGUUCUUCUAUAGAUAUUGAGAAUCUCAGAGGAAAGCUUCCUCCGAGCUUGAAUCCAUUCUCAACUUCUUGUAUUUACA